GACGAACGCUGGCGGCGUGCUUAACACAUGCAAGUCGAACGAAGUGGCGAACGGGUGAGUAACGCGUAAUCAACCUGCCCUUCAGAGGGGGACAACUGUUGGAACCGACUGCUAAUACCGCAUACUGAAGGAGGGGAUUGCGUCUGAUUAGCUAGUUGUAGGGGUCACGGCCCACCAAGGCGAUGAUCAGUAGCCGGGCUGAGAGGAGGAACGGACACAUUGGGACUGUGAAACGGCCCAGAGUCCUAUGGGAGGCAGCAGUGGGGAAUCUUCCGAAAUGGACGAAAGUCUGACGGAGCAACGCCGCGGGAGUGAUGACGGCCUUCGGGUUGUAAAGCUCUGUUAAUCGGGACGCAGUACCGGAAUAGAAAGCCACGGCUAACUACGUGCCAGCCGCCGCGGUAAUUC
rnacentral:rRNA from 1 species